AAGUGGAGAAACUCAUCACAAUGUUGCUGUGAGCCCUGCCAUGCUGUUAGAGCAGGGGGAAAAAUGGAAUACCUGUUCAAGAGAAGUUUAGCUGUUUUGCCUAUCCUGCACUGAUACACAGCUUCAAAACUCAGCAGAAUUCGAUGUAGUAACCCUUACUGGAAAAUACAUCCAUGUCUUCAUCACAGGAUAUUGCCUUCCUUGUCACUACAGUUGCACACUUAGCUCUCUCCUCAUCUGCUGCAUCCUCGUGCAGAGGGAAGGAGGCUGCUACUGAGCUGGAGGCAGACGUUUGGCUGAGCACUCCCCUGGUUUUGGACUGCUGCUUUUGCUUUUAACAGCAUGCCUAGACUUUGAGAGGAACCUUAUGAUGAGUGAACAGCUAUACGAAGAUCUUUCAGACGUAAAAUCGUAUCCAAGGAACCUCCGGUAAUAAGGGCUUCAACUUCUACCCACAAGUGGUCCCAAGGGAAAGAUGGUCUUUGGCUUUUAUUUCCUGAAAGGAAGGAUUGUA